AGUGCGGGGCCGGGCACCACUUCCACAUGGCCACCUCUUCCUCAGGGUGCAGCAUGAUGAUGUCACAGUGUGGGACAGCGCAUGGGUCGCGCAGCGCGCUGCUAGAGCAACGGGUGGGUGCAUGCGCAGGCGGUGAGGUGCUGUUGCCGUGGAGAUGUUUUCACGCGUGUGCUGUCGCCGCAGAGACGGCUUCACAUGCGUGCAAUGAGCAAGAGCGCGCUGUGGCCAUGGCAACGCAGCCUACACGCCCGGCCUGAAGCCCGAGUGGGCCCCGAGGGGCAGUGGGGGGCGAAGAAGACUGGGAGGGGUGGGGGGGGAGAAUGGAGAGCCCUCAGGUAGGGGAGGGGCUGGGGGAGAGCAGAGCUCUGGGGAUGGCGGUGGUGAGUCGGGCUGUGGGGUGGGAGAUCCGCAGCAAGAUGCGGCAAAACAAUGGGAUCUGGGCAGCACACGGAGAUACGGGAAAAACAACACAGGGAUCUAGACAACACAGUGAGAUCUAGACUGAAAGAAAGGGCAAAAAGAAAGAAAGGAAGAAAGAAAGAAAGGAGAGAAAGAAAGGAGAGAGAGAAAGAAGAAGUAAAGAAAGAAAGAAAGAAAAGAAGGAAGGAAGGAAGGAAAGGAGAAUCUCUGUCCUUUAUUGGACACAGAGGUGAACGCAGUGACCAAGGAUCAGGAUAGGGAUGAGGUACUCAAUGCCUUCUUUGCCUCAGUCUUUAAUAGUAAGACUAGUUGUUCCCUGGGCACACAGCCCCUUGUGCUGGAGGAUAGGGAUGGGGAACAGAAUAGGCCCUGCAUAACCCAUGAGGAAAUAAAUGGUUCUUGACCUGCUUCGAAAGCUAGACACACACAAGCCCAUGGGGCCAGAUGGAUUGCACCCUAGAGUGCUGAGGGAGUAACCGGAUGUGGUUGCCAAACCGCUCUACAUCAUCCUUCAGCAGUCCUGGCUAACCAGGGAUAUCCCACUGGACUGGAGACUGGCAAAUGUGAAUCCCCCCUUCAAAAAGGGCUGGAAUGGUGAUCCCGGUAGCUGCAGACCUAUCAGUCUCACAUCGGGAACAGGGAAGGUUAUGGAACGGAUGAUCUCGGAAGCCAUCAUGGAAUGAUAGGUCCUGCUUGACAAACUUGAUUUCAUUCUAUGACAAGGUGACCAGCUUAGCGGAUGAAGGUAAGGCUGUUGAUGUAGUCUACCUGGACUUCAGUAAAGUCUGACACUGUCCCCCACAGCAUCCUCAUGGAGAAGCUGGCUGCUCGUGGUUUGGAUGGGCACAUGCUCUGCUGGGUGAAACACUGGCUGUGUGGCUGGGCCCGAAGAGCUGUGGUCAAUGGAGUUAAAUCCAGUUGGUGUCCAGUCACGAGCCGUGUCCCCCAGGGCUCGGUGCUGGGGCCUCUUCUAUUCAACAUCUUUAUCAAUGAGAAGGUUGAAUACAUCCUCAGUAAGUUUGCAGAUGACACCAGGUUGGGAGGGAGCGAUCUGCCAGAGGGCAGUAAGGCACUAUAGAGGGACCUGGACAGACCGGAUCGAUGGGCCGAGGCAAACUGUACGGGUUUCAGUUGGGCCAGGCGUCGAGUCCUGCACUUUGGUCACAACAACCCUAGGCAACCGUACAGUCUUGGGAGGAAUGGCUGGAAAGCUGCCUGACAGAGAGGGACCUUGGAGUGCUGAUGGACUGUCAGCUGAAUAUGAGCCAGCAGUGCGCCCAGGUGGCCAGGAAGGCCAAUGGCAUCCUGGCUUGGAUCAGAAAUGGGGUGGUGAGCAGGACUAGAGAAGUCAUCCUGCCCCUGUACUCGGCACUGGUGAGGCCCCACCUCGAGUACUGGGUUCAGAUUUGGGCUCCUACAUACAGAAAGGGCAUUGAGGUGCUGGAGCAGGUCCAAAGAAGGGCAAAAAGGCUUGUGAAGGGCUUGGAGAAUAUGUCCUGUGAGGAGCAAAUGAAGGAACUUAGGCUGUUUAGCCUGGGGAAGAGGAGGCUGAAGAAAGACCUUAUUGCUCUCUUCAAAUACCUGAAAGGUGAUUGCAGCGCGAGCGGGGUUGGUCUCUUCUCACUGGUGACAGGACAGGUUGUGCCAGGGAAGGUAUAGUUUGGGUAUCAGGAAAAACUUCUUCACAGAAAGGGUUUUUAAGCAACGGAUCUUAGAGAGAAGGAAGUGGUGCGGGACCAAAUCAAGGGCCUUGCACAAGUCCAGGGAGACGACAUCAGUUGCCCUCCCAUUGUCCAUCAGUGCUGACACUGCAUCAAAAAAGGCCACCAGGAAGAUCUCCACCAUGAUCUCAAAUCCCUAUGAGGUCGCUGUGACCUACGCACUAGGCAGGUGCAGCAUGGAAACUUCUCACUCUGUAGAGAAGCCCGUGUGAUGACACGACGCACUUCUGGAGAUUUCUCAGCCCGUGUCCUGCACAGAAUAAAGCAAGGUCUCCUCUCUAAA